rnacentral:rRNA from 1 species
UGAUCCAGCCAUGCCGCGUGCAGGAUGACUGCCCUAUGGGUUGUAAACUGCUUUUAUACGGGAAGAAACGCACCUACGUGUAGGUGUCUGACGGUACCGUAAGAAUAAGGACCGGCUAACUCCGUGCCAGCAGCCGCGGUAAUACGGAGGGUCCGAGCGUUAUCCGGAAUCAUUGGGUUUAAAGGGUCCGUAGGCGGGCCGUUAAGUCAGGGGUGAAAGUCUGCGGCUCAACCGUAGAAUUGCCUUUGAUACUGGCGGUCUUGAGUCGUUGUGGAGUUGCCGGAACAUGUGGUGUAGCGGUGAAAUGCAUAGAUAUCACAUAGAACACCGAUCGCGAAGGCAGGUGACUAACAACGUACUGACGCUGAUGGACGAAAGCGUGGGUAGCGAACGGGAUUAGAUACCCCGGUAGUCCACGCCGUAAACGAUGGAUACUAGCUGUCGGGCCUUCGGGCUCGGCGGCCAAGCGAAAGUGAUAAGUAUCCCACCUGGGGAGUACGUUCGCAAGAAUGAAACUCAAAGGAAUUGACGGGGGCCCGCACAAGCGGUGGAGCAUGUGGUUUAAUUCGAUGAUACGCGAGGAACCUUACCAGGGCUUAAAUGUAGUGGGACAGGCUUAGAGAUAGGCUUUUCUUCGGACUCAUUACAAGGUGCUGCAUGGUUGUCGUCAGCUCGUGCCGUGAGGUGUCAGGUUAAGUCCUAUAACGAGCGCAACCCCUACCGUUAGUUGCCAGCAUGUCAAGAUGGGGACUCUAACGGGACUGCCGGUGCAAACCGUGAGGAAGGUGGGGACGACGUCAAAUCAUCACGGCCCUUACGUCCUGGGCUACACACGUGCUACAAUGGCCGGUACAGAGGGUUGCGAACUUGCGAAAGUA